UACGAGGGGGCGAGCGUUGUUCGGAAUUAUUGGGCGUAAAGGGCGUGUAGGCGGUUUGCUAAGUCAUGUGUGAAAUCCCCCGGCUUAACCGAGGAACGACGCAUGAUACUGGCAAGCUAGAGUACCAAAGAGGGGGGUGGAAUUCCCGGUGUAGCGGUGAAAUGCGUAGAUAUCGGAAGGAACAUCAGUGGCGAAAGCGGCUUCCUGGACCAGUACCGACGUUCAGGCACGAAAGCGUGGGGAGCAAACAGG
rnacentral:rRNA from 1 species